CCUACGGGGGGCUGCAGUGGGGAAUUUUGGACAAUGGGCGAAAGCCUGAUCCAGCAAUGCCGCGUGAGUGAAGAAGGCCUUCGGGUUGUAAAGCUCUUUUGUUUGGGAAGAAAUCCCUAAGGAUAAUACCCUUGGGGGAUGACGGUACCAAAAGAAUAAGCCCCGGCUAACUACGUGCCAGCAGCCGCGGUGAUACGUAGGGGACAAGCUGUAAUCGGAAUGUGUGGGGGCGGUGCGGUAGGAGGGGUGUGAAAUCCCCGAGCUCAACUUGGGAACUGCACUUGUGACUGCAAGACUAGAGUGUGUCAGAGGGAGGUAGAAUUCCACGUGUAGCAGUGAAAUGCGUAGAUAUGUGGAGGAAUACCAGUGGCGAAGGCGGCCUCCUGGGAUAACACUGACGCUCAUGUACGAAAGCGUGGGGAGCAAACAGGAUUAGAUACCCCAGUAGUC
rnacentral:rRNA from 1 species